CCUACGGGGGGCUGCAGUGGGGAAUCUUCCGCAAUGGACGAAAGUCUGACGGAGCGACGCCGCGUGAGUGAUGAAGGCCCUUGGGUCGUAAAGCUCUGUCAUCAGGGACGAACGGUCACGUCAGGAAAUGGGCGUGAAUUGACGGUACCUGAGAAGGAAGCCACGGCUAACUACGUGCCAGCAGCCGCGGUAAUACGUAGGUGGCGAGCGUUGUCCGGAAUUAUUGGGCGUAAAGCGCGCGCAGGUGGGAUCUUAAGUCUGUUCUGAAAGUUCGGAGCUUAACUCCGUGAUGGGAUGGAAACUGGGAUUCUUGAGUAUCGGAGAGGAAAGCGGAAUUCCCCGUGUAGCGGUGAAAUGCGUAGAUAUGGGGAGGAACACCAGUGGCGAAGGCGGCUUUCUGGACGAUGUCUGACACUGAGGCGCGAAAGCCAGGGGAGCGAACGGGCUUAGAUACCCCAGUAGUC
rnacentral:rRNA from 1 species